GACGAACGCUGGCGGCGUGCUUAACACAUGCAAGUCGAACGAUGAACUUGGAGCUUGCUCUGGGGGAUUAGUGGCGAACGGGUGAGUAACACGUGAGUAACCUGCCCUGGACUCUGGGAUAACUUCGAGAAAUCGGAGCUAAUACCGGAUAGGACCUUGCACCGCAUGGGGUGGGGUGGAAAGUUUUUCGGUUUGGGAUGGACUCGCGGCCUAUCAGCUUGUUGGUGAGGUAAUGGCUCACCAAGGCGUCGACGGGUAGCCGGCCUGAGAGGGUGACCGGCCACACUGGGACUGAGACACGGCCCAGGCUCCUACGGGAGGCAGCAGUGGGGAAUAUUGCACAAUGGGCGCAAGCCUGAUGCAGCAACGCCGCGUGCGGGAUGACGGCCUUCGGGUUGUAAACCGCUUUUAGUAGGGAAGAAGCCUUCGGGUGACGGUACCUGCAGAAAAAGGACCGGCUAACUACGUGCCAGCCGCCGCGGUAACAC
rnacentral:rRNA from 1 species